UACGAAGGGGGCUAGCGUUGUUCGGAUUUACUGGGCGUAAAGCGCACGUAGGCGGGUCGUUUAAGUCAGGGGUGAAAUCCCGGAGCUCAACUCCGGAACUGCCUUUGAUACUGGCGACCUUGAGGCUGGAAGAGGUUAGUGGAAUUCCCAGUGUAGAGGUGAAAUUCGUAGAUAUUCGGAGGAACACCAGUGGCGAAGGCGGCUCACUGGUCCAUUACUGACGCUGAGGUGCGAAAGCGUGGGGAGCAAACAGGG
rnacentral:rRNA from 1 species